CCGCCGGCGCCCGGCCCGGGGUCCCGAUCCUCCUCGGCGGUCCCCGGCCGAGAGCGGGGGGCGCGGACGGGAGGGAGGCCUGCUCCGGGCCGGGGGCUCCGCGCACACCCUCGGGAGACUGGGGCGCAGCCGCCAGUUGGCCUUACGUAAGCUCUCAGCCAGACCGGGGGGCUCCACGCGUCCUUCCCGCCAAGGAAGCAAGUCUAAAAGGUGGCCAGUUCUCUGGACUGAAGGGCGGCGGACACUCCAUACCAUCCCCUAGUGAUAAGCUGGGGUCCGACCAUCGCGUUUUGCGGGACAUGGAGCAGCUUUCCAAGCUCUCCCCCUACGCUUUGUUGUGUUUGAUCCUCUUCUAUGGUGGGAUUCUGAGGAGGCUGUGCAGGGUAAUGAAGGAGCACUGGAUAUGGAGUCCAAAGAGCGGGGCUGGAUGCUCGCCGCUUCCUCCCUUUAACUAAAUGCCCCUUACAUAGAGCGCGGGCUUUGAACUAGACUUCCCGGCGUCAGUCUCUCCCCAGCCAUUUCUGAGUUGUGUGACCUUGUGCAAGUUCUGUCUCGAAGUAUCCGUUUUCUCAUCUCGAAAUCAGAUACUGUGCACCGACCGAGGACUUGGCUCAUAAAUAGUAGCUGUUAGAAUUAUGAGCCUCGAUCGUCACAGUUUGCCCUCUCGUAACUUCUGUGCCUUCGGCUCAAUAAUGGAAUAAUAGUGGCCACUGUUAAAUGAAAGAAGCAGCCUUUGGAGAGCCCAGCGUUAUUUGGGGUGACAAUGUAUGGAGCUGGAAGGCUGUUUCAGCCUCCCUUGGAGGGCUGGGUUCCAGCCAAUGGAAUGUAAACAGCAGUGCUCCGUGGCACGUCCAAGAAGGCUGCUUACAGGAAGCUGACUCCAUUGAAAGCUUUCCGAGUUGGAGCGAUGACAGCGGCAUGGAAGCCGGCGAACUGAACCUCCGAGCCCAGCAGGAAGCCGCGGGCCAGACGCCCCGCCCUCCUCUCCCCGGCCACUCUCAGGGACCGCGGAGAACCGGGGACACUCCGAACCGGCGGCCACCGAACUUCCAGCUCCACUCCAUCCCACGGCAGAGAGAGAAACUGAGGCCCCGGAGGAUUUGAGGGUUCCUGGCCGCGUGGGAACCCGUGACCCGGCCCGCGCGUCAGAGAACGGAAGGCCGGCCUCGGGCGGGAAGUGAACCCGAGGCCUCGGUGCGGCCAGCCAGGGCAGAGAGGCUCAGCGCGGCCGCGGGGCGGAGCCGCGGGGCGGGGCGGGGCCAACAUGGCGGAGAGGCGGGGCUCCCGGGGGC